GACACAUUCUGCGACUGGGAAAAAAGCAAGUCUUUUCUACCAAUCAUAAAUUAACAGCAUACUGAGCGGGACUGGAAAACAUACAAAUGUGAGGUGUGGUGUCUUCAUGCAAAUAGAAAUCAAAAAGCACAAGAAGGAGUUCUUCUGAAGGACAUUAGUAUGGUGUAAUAGCUGUCAGUCUACAAGAUGUGAGUUUGCAGCUGAAGGCGUGACUGCAAGAGGCAAUUUCCCUAAACCUGCCAGUGCUACAUGCUAAUCACUGGCACAGAUUUAUUGGCAAUGUUCCGGUUUCUCUGACAGAAGAGUCGCCACCACCAGAGGAUCAGCUGACGCUGCACUCAGAAACAG